CAAGAGCCUGUGGGCCAGAAUGUUUACCUAGAGUAGCAGAAUGAGAAAAAGAGUUUCCUCCCGUCUGUUCGUCACACCCAUGAGACCCCCUACUGCGGCCCUCACUGCCUCCACGACAGGAGGGUCACAGUGACACAAGAGUGUUGGGCCAGAUGCCGAGUGAUCCCCUCUGAUGCAUCUCCGCUCCCAAAAGCCAGAUCCAUUGCCACGAUAGGACAAUCAGCCUCGAACUCUUUGAAAUACCACACACCAGACCUGAAUUACCAGCAUCGCUGGCUAUCCCGCUUGCAGAUUUUUUUUUUCUUCUUCUUCUUCUUCUUCUUUUUUUAAUUCUAUCAACAACACCAAGUGUAAAUCUUUGGAGCAAAUGUUGGGAGAAAAAAGGAUCGGAGAAGAACUGGGGAAGAUGAAGAGGAGGGGAAACAGAAAGGAGGAGGGGGGAAAAACACAAGUGGAGAACAAAACAACCCAGCUGGUCCACCUUUGCCACUGCAAGCCAGUGAAGUCACCCUGUGUUUUUGUGAGGGAGAAAGAUCCACCUGACAUCCCAGAGGGUACUGAUCAAUCAUGGCCUGACUGGUUCAAACUGUUUGUGCUGGAUUCCACAUCUAUCACCAUCCGAUGGAGCUCUGUGUCCAACUACAGAACUGAGAAAAAAAAAAAAGAGAGCACUUUCAAUUAGGGCAUGGCGAAAUAAAUUCACACUACUUGAUUUAUAGUGCACGACUAAUUACACAAGCCUUUUUUGCAUAAUGCAGUCGGAGCUAAGCCUCGUACUUAAGGAGGUUAUUGUCUUAUGUUAAAUGGCAGGCAGCGAAAUAGGUGGAGGCUACAAGUUUUCAUGUCCUUUGGAAAAGCUCCUUACAAUGACACGAAGGAUAACAACGGACUAGGAUGCUUUGAUGUUUCAAAAGAAAACGAGAGCACUUUUCACAUCUCAUAAGUCUAAGUUUGUAGCCUGGUGAAAAACAUCAAACAUGCCCACUAAUCGUGAAUUCAAGAGUUAAAUUUUAUUCCUUAGACACUUAAAACCUAGAAUACUUUUAUGGAUGUUGAUGGAGUUGGCAUGCUACGCAUGAGUCUAGAUUAUGCCAAUUCCUUAAAUGCUGCCACUAGCCUAUACCUCAAGGGAAGAUAUGAGGGCUUAACAAUAGGUACAAGCUAUAGUCAGAGCACUGGGGCACGCUGCACCUCAUGAAUAUCAUUAACCGUGAGCUCUAUUUGUAUUACUUUGGGAUUACAUCUAACCCUGUAAUGCAG
ensembl:lncRNA